rnacentral:rRNA from 1 species
UAGAAGAUGACGAGCGGCGGACGGGUGAGUAACGCGUAGAAAUCUACCUAGUAGUGGGGGAUAGCCCAGAGAAAUUUGGAUUAAUACCGCAUACGCCCUACGGGGGAAAGCAGGGGAUCUUCGGACCUUGUGCUAUUAGAUGAGUCUGCGUCGGAUUAGCUUGUUGGUGAGGUAAUGGCUCACCAAGGCGACGAUCCGUAGCUGGUCUGAGAGGAUGACCAGCCACACUGGAACUGAGACACGGUCCAGACUCCUACGGGAGGCAGCAGUGGGGAAUAUUGCACAAUGGGCGCAAGCCUGAUGCAGCCAUGCCGCGUGUGUGAAGAAGGCCUUCGGGUUGUAAAGCACUUUCAGCAGUGAGGAAAGGGGUGUCGUUAAUAGCGGCAUCCUGUGACGUUAACUGCAGAAGAAGACCGCUAACU